CGCCAAAGGUCAUUUUGUUUUAAACAAAGCAACUUCGUUUUGCUCUCCUCAAUUUUAUCCCAACCAAUAUACCCGAAAUACCUUAUUUUUCCCCCUAAAAAAUUUCCCCAAAUCAAAAUCCCAACCCAUCUGUUGCAUUGCCCUCCUCUGUUGCAUCUCCCUCAUCUGCUACAUCACCCUCCUCGACCCGACCAUCUGCUGCAUCACCAUUGACUGUUCCUUCUGCUGCGUUGCCGUCGUACUCCUCUGCUGCAACCAAUCGAUUAGCAUUUGGCUGGCAAAACAAGUGUGCUUCCAAUUUGGCUGGAGGAAUUCCUGCUCUGUGACAGCCCGAUUUCGACCCUAAUCGGACAUAGUAGUUUCGGGACCACAAAUCUGAGUCAAAAAAAUAUUUUAAUAUUACUUUGGGAGUUUACUAUGUGUGAAUUUGAUUGUGUGAGAUUUUCGUGUUUCAAUUUUGUUAUUUGAGUAACUGAUUAAAUAAAAAGGACUUAAUCGCGUAAAAAUAAAAAUUUAGGGGUUAAAGUAUCUAUUUGUUGUUUUCUUUUUAUUUGGAAGGUUUAAACAUGCAAUUAGACCACUAAAUAGUUAGUGGAUGGCUAAGGACAAAACUAACCUUAUUAUAUAUAUAAGUUAUAUUUAUUUAAAUAAGGCUAAAUUAGUAAUUAACAAAUAUUAUAAUAUAAGAUAGUUAAAAGCAUAAAAACAUUAGAUUAUUAUCAUCUUUCUUAGCCGAAACCAAGAAGGAAGAAAGCCAUUAAAGCUUAGUCAAGUUUCGGUCAUAUUCAAGCUUAAAUUCAAGAUCGAUAAACGAAGAAAACGGAUUUGGAUUGGGGAAAAACGAAAGUAGUUGAAUAGUCGAUCGUGUCCGUUGAUAUCCGAGUUAAAACCAAGCUACUGAGACUCGGGAUCGUUAGCGAAGAUCAUCACUCUAUCUACUAUCUCGGUAUUAAAACGUUUAAAUUUUAGCUUAUGGCAUGUAUAGGCUAAAUAAAAUUUUGGGAGUCGUACUUUAAUGUAUCGUAUAUAUAUAAUUAAUGACCAUAUGAAACUAGCUUAUUUUUCUUACGGUUUAACCGAAUCGAAAUGUUAUGUUUUGUUAUAAAAGGUUAAAGUAAAAUUUAUAAUUAUACUUACUUCAUAUUUGACUAAUUUAAUAUAAAUGUAAAAUUCUUGAAUUCUACUGAAUGUUUGUGUUAAGUUACGUUUUAUCUGGUAACGCUUCGUAACCCUAAUUUAUCGACGUAUACGGGUUAGGAGUGUUACAUGCUCAAUUGGCAAAUUUGGUAGCUUUCAUACACUAAAUCAUUACACAGAAAGCCUAGAUAACCAGAAGGUUAAUUAAUUUUUUAUUUUUUUCGUUUUUUAAAUUUACAUUUGAAUUUGGGAUCUUUGUAGUUGGGACUAUUUUAACUUAUAUAUAUCAUAUCAUAACUUCCAUAAUUCACAUAACAUACAUAACUUAAUAACUUAUAUAUAUCAUAUCAUAACUUACAUAACUCACAUAACUUACAUAAUACAUAAAUAUAUAUCAUAUCAUAACUUACAUAACUUAAUUACACUUAUAAAUAAACAACUUACUCGUGUAAUUUAUUAUCAACUUUAGACUUCAAGAACUACGAAAUAGACUGGUCUUGGAUGAAUUUUUUAAGGGUAAGCAAUGACUAUCGAAAUGGAGUACAAACUUUUCUAAAUUUUACAUUUCAAAAUGCAAGCCAAUAGAA